UACAGAGGUCUCAAGCGUUGUUCGGAUUCAUUGGGCGUAAAGCGCGUGUAGGCGGCUUUGCAAGUCGGGUGUGAAAGCCCUCAGCUUAACUGAGGAAGUGCGCCCGAAACUGCAGAGCUUGAAUACCGGAGAGGAUGGCGGAAUUCCCCAAGUAGAGGUGAAAUUCGUAGAUAUGGGGGAGGAACACCGGUGGCGAAGGCGGCCAUCUGGACGGCUAUUGACGCUGAGACGCGAAAGCGUGGGGAGCAAACAGG
rnacentral:rRNA from 1 species